rnacentral:rRNA from 1 species
AGUGAACGCUGGCGGUAGGCCUAACACAUGCAAGUCGAACGGCAGCACAGUAAGAGCUUGCUCUUACGGGUGGCGAGUGGCGGACGGGUGAGGAAUACAUCGGAAUCUACUUUUUCGUGGGGGAUAACGUAGGGAAACUUACGCUAAUACCGCAUACGACCUACGGUUGAAAGCAGGGGAUCUUCGGACCUUGCGCGAUUGAAUGAGCCGAUGUCGGAUUAGCUAGUUGGCGGGGUAAAGGCCCACCAAGGCGACGAUCCGUAGCUGGUCUGAGAGGAUGAUCAGCCACACUGGAACUGAGACACGGUCCAGACUCCUACGGGAGGCAGCAGUGGGGAAUAUUGGACAAUGGGCGCAAGCCUGAUCCAGCCAGACCGAGUGAGUGAAGAAGGCCUUCGGGUUGUAAAGCCCUUUUGUUGGGAAAGAAAAGCAGCAGGUUAAUACCCCGCUGUUCUGACGGUACCCAAAGAAUAAGCACCGGCUAACUUCGUG